ACGGAAGGCAGCAGUGGGGAAUAUUGGACAAUGGGCGCAAGCCUGAUCCAGCGACGCCGCGUGAGUGAAGAAGUAUUUCGGUAUGUAAAGCUCUAUCAGCAGGGAAGAUAAUGACGGUACCUGACUAAGAAGCCCCGGCUAACUACGUGCCAGCAGCCGCGGUAAUACGUAGGGGGCAAGCGUUAUCCGGAUUUACUGGGUGUAAAGGGAGCGUAGGCGGUUUGGCAAGUCUGAUGUGAAACCCCGGGGCUUAACCCCGGGCAUGCAUUGGAAACUGUCGGACUAGAGUGUCGGAGAGGAAAGCGGAAUUCCUAGUGUAGCGGUGAAAUGCGUAGAUAUUAGGAGGAACACCAGUGGCGAAGGCGGCUUUCUGGACGAUAACUGACGCUGAGGCUCGAAAGCGUGGGGAGCAAACAGGAUUAGAUACCCUGGUA
rnacentral:rRNA from 1 species